rnacentral:lncRNA from 1 species
UCUGAUCUCCACUGUGUGUUAUUACUGUCCCAGUGUUUGAAGUGUGUUCAGUCAGUCCGAUCUGCAGUGUGUGUGACUGGUCACUCAUAACUAUUAAUACAGGUUUUAAAAAAACUAAAUAUAGAUAAAUAUACAGUAUAGAUUUAUCUACAUUUUCCUAAAACAUACCUUCUGGGUUUAAAAGGAACAGAGUGUACAUUCUAUCGAUCUCAACUUCACAGGAGAGACUUAACUCUGAUUGUGUCUUUACAGCUUUUACUCCAGUACGUCACACUGAACACUAUGAAACUAGACCCACAGUUUCCAAACCAGUACGUCCUACUCAACCCAAGGAAACUAAAUCCACAGGUAAAAAGUUAAUUCCAAUAUUCACACAAGCAUCAGGUCACUAUCUUUCAGUACUGGCUUAGAAAGCACAUUUUGGCCCUGACCAACAACUGUUUGGAUAUCCUAAAAUUUCAAGCUACAUUUGGAGCACAAUACAAAAUGUGAGUCUGUUUCAAGCUAAAGUUCAAUAAAGGCAGUACUGUGACAUGUGUCUUCAUCACAGUGUCACUACUGUUUAUGUUUGUGAAGUGUGUUAAGUAAAUCUGAUCUCCACAGUAUCAUGCCAGUGUAUGAGAACUGCAUUCAUUGAAUCUUGUCUCCAUACGUCAUUACUGUCCCAGUGUGUGAAGUGUGUUCGGUCAGUCUGAUCUCCACUGUGUGUCAUUACUGUCCCAGUGUGUGAA